CAUCUGAACGGCUAUGGCAUAAAAGAGACUGUGGAGGGACCCGAGUUUCACUGCCCAGAAGGAAAUAGGCUCUGCUUUGGCCGCGAGUAAAGACGGGAUGCUGGGAAGACGCCCUUCCGAAGCCUGAGAUGUGGUUGGGUUGCUGGCAGACACCAGUCUCUUCUACCGUCAAUUCUUGGCCGAGGCUGCACAGUCUCCUCUGCUCUCGUGAAGCAAAAAAAUGCCCCCCUCCCCGGUUUUGUGGCCUUCCCUUUGUCAUCCUAUGCCUGGUAGACUCUUGGAGGCUGGGACGCUGAAGGGAAGGCCACGGGACUGCGGGUCCAGCUGGGGCGAGAAGACCCGCCUCGCAAGGCCGGCAUCUGGGAACUCCCGGCGAUUCUCUGGCUGAACGUCGUCUCACACAGUAGCAACCCUGCUUUGUACCAAAUUACGCCAUUGGUCCUUCUACCCCAGCAGGAUCUUUUCCGAUUGGCCGCAGCUGUCAAGCAAGCAAGAAAGGCCUACCGUAACAGGGCUGCAAAUCUCCAGGGGGCGGCUGGAGUUCUUCCGGAACUCUCCAGGAAUUUCCGACCCCAGAGUUGGCAACUCUGUCUACCCAAUGCCUGAUUAACUUUCCAACAGGGGUUGGAGGGAUGGAACCAGAGGUGGGAUCCAGCCAGUUCUCACCAGUUCCCGAGAGUGGGUUACUAAUUAUUUGUGUGUGCCGAGAGGGGCCCAGAUCGCACUUGGGGCAAUCUUCCCCCAUGCUGGGGGGCAGUGCCAAAAAAGGCUCCAGCUGAGGACAGCCAGAUAUUUUUUGGUCCGGGGAUCACCAAUAAGUUGUUAUUUGCUGAGCGAAAUGCUUUUUAGGGAGGCAUACUGGUGGUUUCUGCAGAUACCAAGGUCCUAGAUCAUAGGUGUCAAACUUGAUGUUCUCCAGAUAAAUAGUGGAUGUACAGUUCCCAUCAUCCCUUGCCAGCAUCAUGCUGGCAGGGGCUGAUGGGAACUGCAGUCCAUAACAUGUAGUCCUAGGGAACAUGUAGUCCAUAACAUGUAGUCCUAGACCAUUUAAUUAUACAUUAAUGCCAGAACCUUGAACAUGAUAGUUUACCUAUACCACCUUGCUAAAAUUGCAAUGAAGUGUGCUGCAGUUCUAGGUUGCAUGAAUAUGUCCUACACACUUUGUAAUAUGUCCUACACACUUUCUCACAAUACUAGAACCAGGGGGCAUACAUUGAAAAUGCUAGGGGGGAAGAAUUAGGACUAAUAAAAGGAAACACUUCUUCACGCUAACGCAGUGAUUGGUG